UGGGUCCUUUGUCCCCAUUCCGGACUUCCCGGCCAUUUUAACGAGUUCAGACUAAACAGUUUCUUUAGCAAUACAUAUUUGUCACUUGUAACAAAUUUAGAAAGACAGGAGAUCUUUGGUGAGCCAAGCGAUCACAAAUACUGAUGUGGAGGUCUCGCUUCCCAUGUUUUUAUUUUCGGCUGUAAAGGACUAAACACUGGAGAAAAUAGCACCAUUUCUUCCACUAUCUCGACUUAAGGACAAACCUGAUCCCAAACUCUUCGCGCAGUAAAGAUUCCUGUUCAAAUUUUAUAUGUCACACUGUCCUAGAAGUUAAAACACAAAAAAAACAUGUUUUUCACUGGAUCAGAAAACAGAAAUCCAAAGGCCUCUCUCCUGUUAGGCUGUAGAGAUGGAAGACUUUAUUUGAAAUAAAAGUCAAUCAACAAUUCUCACCAGCUGUGCCACCAUGUCCCAUGGUGGGGAAGCCACACAGGUCAUCUGAGCAUCCAAGCUGCUUUUCAAGAAAUCUCCAAUUCCAGGAAGAAUGAGAACAUCAUUCUGUUGUGGGGUGCUCAUCAGAGAAGACUUCUCGGACAUGGGUUUUAGCCAAUAGAAAAUCUUUCUUAGCUGACCAAUGACUGACUACACUGUGUGUUCCAGAUCACGGUGUAGCACUGAGCCUUUCUCAGGGUUGAGCCUUUAAGCACAAAAAUCAUAGCCCAGGUUGACAUACUUCAGUUAUCAAGAACAGUUAGCCAGAAGCAGAACACCGAAGCCAGAAAACAAGGGUGGUACUUCUAGGGACUCUCCCAGAACUAUGGACUUUGAUGAAUUGAGUUUUUGUUUUAGUUUUGGCAGGUAGUGCCACCUACUACAUACAGCCUGAAUGGCAUUCAAUUAGGGAGUCAGCUGUGCUAAGGUCUCAGGGCCUGUUACAUUCCAAAGUUGCAGAACUAAAGAAUGUGUCUGUGAGAACAAAGCUCACCUGGUAGAUGAUUGUGGAAUUCCAGAACAAACGUGUGUAAAGAAUUCAUGUUUCUAUUUCAUUCUUCCUAUUUUCCAGAUGUUAUUCUACUGACAGGAAAGAAAGGCUAUGUGAAAGGCCCCUUUCUGAGCCCUAGUAAUUGCUUGUUAGUAAUCAUGAAAGCAUCAUGAGUUCAUGAAUGUUUCUUCUUUAAAAUUAUUAUAAUACCAUUUGUAUUCAUAAAUUAAGUGUAAAACAUGAUAAUAGUCAAAAGGAAAGAAAAGGCAUGCCCCAUCCAGAAAACAACACAGAGGAAAACUGAAAGCAGAACAAUCUCGGAUACCCUGAGUGUUCAGUGGUCACUAGACGCUAGAAAGUUGUCCCCAAUUCAGAAAAUAU
rnacentral:lncRNA from 1 species